ACACCUUUUAACGAAAAGUCCAGAGAGGCUUACAAGGGUGGACGGGCACGGACAAAGCAACCUUUUGGUUUUGUCCUGCCUUCUCACACCCUGAAACCGGAUUUCAGGGUGUUUUUUUGC
rfam:Bacillus cibi strain DSM 16189 Contig01, whole genome shotgun sequence.